UUGUGCCCAAUUGAUUGAUGGUGCUUGCACCUGAUUGAUUUUGGUCGCCAACGAGUGGCGGACGGGUGAGUAACACGUAGGUAACCUGCCCCGAAGCGGGGGACAACAUUUGGAAACAGAUGCUAAUACCGCAUAACAACGUUGUUCGCAUGAACAACGCUUAAAAGAUGGCUUCUCGCUAUCACUUCUGGAUGGACCUGCGGUGCAUUAGCUUGUUGGUGGGGUAACGGCCUACCAAGGCGAUGAUGCAUAGCCGAGUUGAGAGACUGAUCGGCCACAAUGGGACUGAGACACGGCCCAUACUCCUACGGGAGGCAGCAGUAGGGAAUCUUCCACAAUGGGCGCAAGCCUGAUGGAGCAACACCGCGUGAGUGAAGAAGGGUUUCGGCUCGUAAAGCUCUGUUGUUAAAGAAGAACACGUAUGAGAGUAACUGUUCAUACGUUGACGGUAUUUAACCAGAAAGUCACGGCUAACUACGUGCCAGCAGCCGCGGUAAUACGUAGGUGGCAAGCGUUAUCCGGAUUUAUUGGGCGUAAAGAGAGUGCAGGCGGUUUUCUAAGUCUGAUGUGAAAGCCUUCGGCUUAACCGG
rnacentral:rRNA from 2 species